UAAUUAACAGAGAAAUAUGCUUUAAAAUUCUAAACAGCGAGUAAAUUAUAAAAGAAAAUUUAUUCAUCUAAGUAUACAAAAGAAAUUAAGAUGGUCCGCAAAUCCCAAAUCUUAAAACUUAUUACCGUGAUCGCCUUUGUCUGGCUUUUCAUUAUACUGCUAAUGAAUAUUUUCAAUAGCGGUCACAGUUAUCACUAUAUAAAUGUGGAGAGAAAACUACAAAUGCAGCAAGAACAGCAAAUUCACUCAGUGAAAACUAAUAAUAAAAACAUAGAGGCCACAGUAAAAAUUGCUACAAAUUUGAAAUUUGACUAUAAUAUUACAGGUCACACGAACUCAUCGAUUUUACAAAUAUAAAGAAAUUGAUGGACGGGCUUUAUUACUCAUAUUUUUUAUGCUUAUCUAUCUGCAUGGGGA